rnacentral:rRNA from 1 species
CUGUAGCAAGGUUAACCGAAUAGGGGAGCCGGAGGGAAACCGAGUCUUAACCGGGCGUUAAGUUGCAGGGUAUAGACCCGAAACCCGGUGAUCUAGCCAUGGGCAGGUUGAAGGUUGGGUAACACUAACUGGAGGACCGAACCGACUAAUGUUGAAAAAUUAGCGGAUGACCUGUGGCUGGGGGUGAAAGGCCAAUCAAACCGGGAGAUAGCUGGUUCUCCCCGAAAGCUAUUUAGGUAGCGCCUCGUGAAUUCAUCUCCGGGGGUAGAGCACUGUUUCGGCUAGGGGGCCAUCCCGGCUUACCAACCCGAUGCAAACUGCGAAUACCGGAGAAUGUUAUCACGGGAGACACACGGCGGGUGCUAACGUCCGUCGUGAAGAGGGAAACAACCCAGACCGCCAGCUAAGGUCCCAAAGUCAUGGUUAAGUGGGAAACGAUGUGGGAAGGCCCAGACAGCCAGGAUGUUGGCUUAGAAGCAGCCAUCAUUUAAAGAAAGCGUAAUAGCUCACUGGUCGAGUCGGCCUGCGCGGAAGAUGUAACGGGGCUAAACCAUGCACCGAAGCUGCGGCAGCGACACUGUGUGUUGUUGGGUAGGGGAGCGUUCUGUAAGCCUGUGAAGGUGUGUCGUGAGGCAUGCUGGAGGUAUCAGAAGUGCGAAUGCUGACAUAAGUAACGAUAAAGCGGGUGAAAAGCCCGCUCGCCGGAAGACCAAGGGUUCCUGUCCAACGUUAAUCGGGGCAGGGUGAGUCGACCCCUAAGGCGAGGCCGAAAGGCGUAGUCGAUGGGAAACGGGUUAAUAUUCCCGUACUUGGUGUUACUGCGAAGGGGGGACGGAGAAGGCUAUGUUGGCCGGG